rnacentral:misc_RNA from 1 species
GAAAUGCGAUAAGUAAUGUGAAUUGCAGAAUUCAGUGAAUCAUCGAAUCUUUGAACGCACAUUGCGCCCGCCAGCACUCUGGCGGGCAUGCCUGUUCGAGCGUCAUUUCAACCCUCAGAACCCCUUGCGGGAUCUGGCGUUGGGGAUUGGCAUCCAGCCAACCCCGAAAUCUAGUGGCGGUCCCUCCGCGACCUCCCCUGUGCAGUAGCGAUACCUCGCGGCGGGACAGCGGUCUGACCACGCCGUAAAACCCCCAACUUCUCAAGGUUGACCUCGAAUCAGGUAGGAAUACCCGCUGAACUUAAGC